rnacentral:lncRNA from 1 species
UCUCUCUCUCUCUCUCUUUCCUGCUCCGCCGCGGUGAGACGUACUUGCUUCUCCUCACCUUCUACCGUGAUUCUGGACUAGACAGAAGACUACAGUUCAAUAAGAAGGAAACACAUUCAUUUUCAGUAUUGUUAAUAAAGAAGCUUACCUAAAAGAAGGAAAUCAAAACAAGAUAAUCUACACUGCAACUAGGGGAGGCUAUUGAAUGUGAUGGUCCCCUCAGAUGCCUAGAGGAAGAUGAACAAUGGUAAUCAGAUAUCCUAAAGUUAUCUUUAGGGCACUGGCAAAAUAGCAGCAAUGCCUGGUGGAAGCUGACUUUGUGCAUACACAUGAGAGCCCACAGAAAACUUCAAACUUCAUGGAAAUAAAACCUUCAGCUGCAGCUAAGAAUUUGGAGGUUACUGAAGGAGGUUACUUUUUCAAGAGCAGAAGUAAGGAUUCCACUGAAUUUGCUCACCAAAGAUAAGUCAGCAAAGAAAACUUACUGAAGAAUACAGGUUGUCUACUGUGUUUUUCUUAUUUUUUUUGUGGAGGUUAUUUGAUCAUGUUUAUUUGAAAAUUGACCCCUAUAUGACAACCCAUUCUGUUGAGUUUAUUGUUAAAAGAGCAGGAAUGAUUAAUGACUAUAGUGAAAUUAUGGAUUCCUAUUGUUGCUAAGCUAAUAUUGUAAGAACCAGCUAAAUCUUAUAAUGUAUGAUACAUUUACGUGUGGCAUUCUUUGGUAUAGAAAUGAUUGUGUAAAUGCUGACGCUAUGGGGUUUACCUUCUGCCUAAAUCAACAUCAGUGCUAAAAAUACAUAUAAAUAAGGUGAAUAUUUUGAAUUUAUUUAAGGCCCUUCUCCAAAAAAGAAUAAUAAUUUAAAUUUUUUUGUAGAACUAUGAGAAAAGCUAACUAAUUUGCAUAAACUGAGGAGCACAAUUGGAAAUAGAGCAAAAUUAUUUAUUAUUUUUAAGUGAAUGCAAGUUUAUUAAGAAAGUAAAGGAAUAAAAGAAUGGCUACUCCAUAGGCAGAGCAGCAAAAAUUAUUGAAUUUUUAAGUGAAUAUAAUCAUAUUGCUUUGACUUAUUGUCAUCUAUUUAUAAGAAAUAGCUAUUCCACAAUCUUCUUAAUGUUUAAAUAUUUUGUAAUAAACAUAUUAAUAUUGUAUAUUAUAUGUUAUUCAUAUAUAUUAAUAAUAACUAAUAAAUAUAUAUUUCUUAUGAUGUACCUGAUAUUGGAGUAAGUAUUGAGCCUGUGAGGUGAGUAACAUUAUUAUGUGAUUUAACAAAUGAGGAAACUAAAGUCCUUAAAAAUGGUGGCUUUUGUUGACAUAUGUUGUUUUGAAUGCUUUCCUUCCUGUUCCCCAUGAUUUGGCAGGAGUUCCUUGGGAAACGACUCCUCCACUGAAUGCAAUCAAGUUAAAACUAUCAAGCCAUAUACUUUUCUGCCUUCUACAAGAAUAAAUGAUGGUCAAAUGUUCUUUCUUUCAGGAACAUAAAUCUUAAGCAGGCUUACAUAAGGAAGGGAAGUGGUUGAAUCUGAGGUAAUUCCAUGGUGGACUUUGAAGAAAGCCUUCCAUGAGUUCCCAGUCCAUAUCCUCCAAAAGACAGCAUAUCAGCUCCUGCUUUCCAGACAAACUUCCUGGGUCUUGGGAAGAAGAAAGCCUCAGACUAAGAACUCUCUCUGGACUCAGACAGCCUGAAUUCAAAUCCCAUCUCUAUUCUUACUAGUCAUAUGAACACAGGAGAACCAUAUCCAUUCAGCUCACUUUGGACCACCUGUGGAGCCUGAUAACCAGGGAACAGAGAACCUGUUGAGAUCCAAAUUUGUGUGCCAGCCUCUAGCAGGUCCUUCAGGACAUAUUCCAGAAGAAGGCAUUGUUAUCAUAGGAGAUGACGGUUCCAUGCGUGUUAUUGCCCCUGAAGAC